ensembl:snRNA U6 U6 spliceosomal RNA
GUGCUCAUGUCAGCAGCACAUCUGCUAAAAUUGGAGUAGUGCAGACAGGAUGAGCACAGCCCCUGUGUAAUGAUGCACCCAAAUUUGUGAAGAAUUCUGUAUUUUU